rnacentral:rRNA from 1 species
UUGAUCCUGGCUCAGGAUGAACGCUAGCUACAGGCUUAACACAUGCAAGUCGAGGGGCAGCAUGAUUGAAGCUUGCUUCAAUCGAUGGCGACCGGCGCACGGGUGAGUAACACGUAUCCAACCUGCCGAUAACUCGGGGAUAGCCUUUCGAAAGAAAGAUUAAUACCCGAUAGCAUAGUUUCCCCGCAUGGGGUUACUAUUAAAGGAUUCCGGUUAUCGAUGGGGAUGCGUUCCAUUAGGCAGUUGGCGGGGUAACGGCCCACCAAACCCACGAUGGAUAGGGGUUCUGAGAGGAAGGCCCCCCACAUUGGAACUGAGACACGGUCCAAAUCCUACGGGAGGCAGCAGUGAGGAAUAUUGGUCAAUGGACGAGAGUCUGAACCAGCCAAGUAGCGUGAANGGAUGACUGCCCUAUGGGUUGUAAACUUCUUUUAUACGGGAAUAAAGUUUGCCACGUGUGGCUUUUUGCAUGUACCGUAUGAAUAAGGAUCGGCUAACUCCGUGCCAUCAGCCGCGGUAAUACGGAGGAUCCGAGCGUUAUCCGGAUUUAUUGGGUUUAAAGGGAGCGUAGGCGGGGUAUUAAGUCAGUUGUGAAAGUUUGCGGCUCAACCGUAAAAUUGCAGUUGAUACUGGUAUCCUUGAGUGCAGCAUAGGUGGGCGGAAUUCGUGGUGUAGCGGUGAAAUGCUUAGAUAUCACGAAGAACUCCGAUUGCGAAGGCAGCUCACUGGAGUGUAACUGACGCUGAUGCUCGAAAGUGUGGGUAUCAAACAGGAUUAGAUACCCUGGUAGUCCACACAGUAAACGAUGAAUACUCGCUGUUGGCGAUACAAUGUCAGCGGCCAAGCGAAAGCAUUAAGUAUUCCACCUGGGGAGUACGCCGGCAACGGUGAAACUCAAAGGAAUUGACGGGGGCCCGCACAAGCGGAGGAACAUGUGGUUUAAUUCGAUGAUACGCGAGGAACCUUACCCGGGCUUGAAUUGCAACUGACGGAACUGGAAACAGUUCUUUCUUCGGACAGUUGUGAAGGUGCUGCAUGGUUGUCGUCAGCUCGUGCCGUGAGGUGUCGGCUUAAGUGCCAUAACGAGCGCAACCCUUAUCUAUAGUUACCAUCAGGUGAUGCUGGGGACUCUAUGGAGACUGCCGUCGUAAGAUGUGAGGAAGGUGGA